UACGGAGGGGGGCUAGCGUUGUUCGGAAUUACUGGGCGUAAAGCGCACGUAGGCGGCUUUGUAAGUUAGAGGUGAAAGCCCGGGGCUCAACUCCGGAAUUGCCUUUAAGACUGCAUCGCUAGAAUUGUGGAGAGGUGAGUGGAAUUCCGAGUGUAGAGGUGAAAUUCGUAGAUAUUCGGGAAAGAACACCAGUGGCGAAGGCGACUCACUGGACACAUAUUGACGCUGAGGUGCGAAAGCGUGGGGAGCAAACAGG
rnacentral:rRNA from 1 species